rnacentral:pre_miRNA from 14 species
UUCCCAGCUUGUGAAAGACCCCCAGAGCGAGGAGACCCUCACUCAAGUCUCGGGAUGAUGCGACCCCUCAAGAACUCACGUGAGACC